rnacentral:rRNA from 1 species
AUGAGUGUGUUCAAGCUUCCAGCCUCGGUUUGUGAUGAGCUGACCCGUAUGAUGCGCCAAUAUUGGUGGGGAGUGGAGAACGGGAAGAAGAAAAUGGCAUGGAGGAGUUGGGACAAAAUGAUGCUCCCCAAAGCUAUGGGGGGCAUGGGCUUCAGGGAUAUGAGAGCAUUCAACCAAGCGCUGCUGGCUAAGCAAGCUUGGAGGCUCCUCGACUCCCCUGACAGCCUAUGUGCGAGACUCAUGAAGGCAAAGUAUUACCCGCAAGGCCAGUUGCUAGACACAGUUUUUCCAAUCUCUGGUUCAGCAGUGUGGAAGGGUAUUUUGCAUGGUUUGGAACUGCUCAAAAAAGGUGUUAUAUGGCGGGUGGGAAACGGGGAGCAUAUCCGGACGUGGCGAGAUCCUUGGAUCCCACGGCCUUCUUCUUUCCGGCCGAUCACCCCCAAAGGCUCCUGA